CCAGGUGACUUGUUGCGACUUGAGUCAGAGGGAGGGGCGGGUGAGCGAGCCCUUCCCUGAACUAGUCCUGCCGCACAGGCGGCUCGGGCCUCUGCACUUCCGGGGGCCACGGGGGGCGGGGAAAGGGGCUCCCCGCGGAGGAACCCCAGAAGAAGGCGACCGGGUCGGGCCUUCACGGCCUCGAGGGCCCCCCUGCCCCAUGCUGAGCCGCCCGCCCCCCGGAUUCCUGCUCCGCGCAGGGCCCCGACGUGGGCUGAGGCCCCGGCGCGUGGGGAGCACCAGCCAGAAACCUACAUGCGGCCAAGGAGGGUCCCUGCUCCCCGUUCGCUGAAGUGGGGUCAAGGUCAGAUCAGGACCGCAGUGGGCAGUUCUGGAGCAGUGAUGAUGACGGUAAAGGAUGUUCCAGCACCACGUAUCAGGACGGCUGUCACAGCCGCCCUGUGGUAUGACACCCCCGUGGCAUCGACUAACGGCAAAUCACGGGUACUGCCAGGUGGCAACGCUAAAUUUCAGUGAAGACUGGUGAAAAAGAAACCCUUCCCAUCGGAGGACACGGCCCUCUGACUUCUGUCCACAGAUGCCUGGGUGCCCGUGGACUCAGGCAAGAAUCCCGCCCUCAGGUGACCCCCAUCUCUGAGGCCAGGGAGAGAAGCACAGAGGACCGAUCAGCGCGCUGACCCCCUGGAAUCCUCAGAGACCCCUUGUUCCCUCAAAUUCACACGCACUUCCCGGCCCGGCGGGACCUGAGGCUUGGAGUGGCACUGGACCACCAGCUCGCCCAAGAACCGCAGAGCCGUGGUCUCCCUGGCUGCCAUGCCCUUCGAUUCAAAAUAUCCAGGGAGAGGUGGGCCUUCCAGAGGCCUGCAGAGAACGUGGGGUUCACACCCGGCUCCCGCCAGUGCCCCACGUCCCAAACCCUGCAGUGUCAUCACCGAGACCACCAGUGGGUGAGGAACUGGGGUUUCCUCACAUACUUGGAAUCUGAUCUUUGAAAGAAGGAGAAAAGCUGCAUCUCUUUAGGGUUUUCAUUUCCUAAGGAAAACUCCUGAAUCAGAAAACUCUUCCACCUCCUGCAUCCAUCACUCUCCACUAUUUUUUUAAAGUUCCUCCUUUGAGUUUCUUGUGACACACGAGAUUGAAGUGAAAACAAGGGCCCGGUCUGACCACCUCCACAUCCCCACCAGCACCCAGCAAAGAACCGUCUCGGGCACUCCUAAAAUUUCACUGAGACAAUUAAGGAGCCGAUGGUCAGCCGCUCGAGCCAGAACGGUGAGAAGAGAAAGGAGGGAACCGGCCCGGGACGCUGCAGGCGAAGGGGAUGGGAGACGGUUCCCGAAACUGUUUUCUUCGCCCGCUCCUCCCUCCCCACUGGGAAAGGUGCUCGCCCCCGGCGAGCGGGCCGGGGCAGGGACUCCACGACGGCCUGGAAUGCGCCCUGGAAUCAGACCUCCAGGCUGGCCUCAAAAAGCCCCUUUGUCCGGUCCACCCUGCUCCCCUCCCCCACCGCGCCCUCCGCGUCCAGGCGGCCCGAGGCUCGGCUCCUUUUGUCUGGCUUCCCGGAACCUGCCCGGGGAUCCGCAGGCGCGGGGAAGGUCGCCGGAGAAAGGUCGAGGCGGCGGAAACGCGCGCUGUCGGUUCCGGGGGCGCUUGCCGAGCACCUACUAGCGCCCGGCCCGGCGGCUCAGAGGUCAGGGGCCGCGGGGAUCCCCAAGCUCCACGAGCGGCCACUCGACUGGAGGGUCAGAGAAGGAAGGCCAGCAGCACCCGGGCGGGGGCCCCGCCGAGGACCGCACAGCCUGCCCGCGGAGGCCGUGCCGGGGGGACGGGGGGUCGGGCACGAGAAGGAGCCCCGGGCAGCAGCGGCGGGUGCACAAAAGCAGAAUGGCAGAGGGGCUCCGGAGGCUCUAGGAGCUGAGGGGACUUGGGGUGUGGGAUGAGGAGGGACAAGGGGCCGGCAGGGAGCAAGGCCGCUCCGUGUGGUUGUCCAGGUUGUGCACCGAACUAAGCGGGACCGCUCACCCGGGCUCCACCCACCAAACCGUGGGCCUUGGCCAGAGGCACAUCUGCCGGGAGGCGGUGGCUUUUUCCAAUUUGUACAGAGGCUCUAGGUGAGCUAAGCUGGCUGAAGAGUCAUGUGGGCUGACUCAGGAUUGAAGAUUUUUAUCUUGAAAUUGAAGAAGAGCUCCAAGGAAACAGAACCCAUAGGAGAUCCCCCGUCUCUCCCUCUGUGUGUGUGUGUGUGUGUGUGUGUACAGACAUACAGAGGGAGAGGCAUUGGUCCGUGCUGUUUGGAAGGCUGACAGAUCCACAACCUGCAGGGUGGGGCUGGCAGGCUGGAGACCAGGAAGCAGUUGCAGUCAGAGCCCAGAGGCCAUCUGCUUGCAGAGCUGCCUCUCUAUUAAAGUCAGUCUCUCUGCGAUUCGGGCCUUCACCUGCUGGGGUGCGACCCACCCACGUGUGGCUGGUCACCGGCCUCACUCCGUCUACUGUUUAUUUCAAUGUUAAUCUCUUCUAAGAAAAUACCUUCGCACUAACAUCUGGAAUAACGUUUGACCAAAUAUCCGGGUACCACGGCCUAGCCAAGUUGACACAUAACAUUAGCCGUCACACUGCUAAAGAGUGGCCACCUGAGGCCAAGCUGGGCACGCCCACAUUCCAGUCACUUGGGUGUGUGAGCACUGGGUGUGAAACACGGGAGCCGUGCAGAGCCUGUAUCCAGACAAGGGGUGAAUUCGCAUUGUGGCAUUGCGGGGAAGGGAAUGGGGGAAGCCAAAAGCUAUGCGGGAGCAAGACCUGGCCUGACUCUGGAAGGGACUGACUAAAGACUUGGCAGAAAGAAAGGGGAGGAGCCGGGGGUUCCGGGGUUCCUGGCAUGAGUUGAGGGUAAGGUGUGUUCAUGUCAGGCUAUGAGUGAUAACAUCCCGAGAGCAGCCUGGCUGCAGGAAGGGCUUGGGAGCCACCGCAGCGCCGCAGCUACAGGACCUGGUGACAUCACCUGGGAAGGGUGCGCAGGAUGGGAAAGGAGGGGUGGGGGGCAAGGGGAGGAAAUUCUGGGAACACUUCAGGGGUGCACAGGUGGUAAAGUACCUCUGAAGGUAAACACUGUUAUUAUUACUCAGGCGACGGGACAACUUGUUGAAAUGUUGCUUUGCAGCCCCGCCCCUCCCAGCCACCCCUGCCUUUUCUCCGGGUGGGAGGCAGUGGCUUCCCAAAGGUCUUAGCCCUGAGCCCGCUGAGACAAUGCUGGGGUCCCACAGAGCAAGGCAGGGAUGUGGCUCUUGAGGACCCGGACAGAGAAGGGAGAUAGUCUGGGAGCUUGAAAGAAGAUGCCCUGUGCAGCGAGGACCUCGGGAGGUGAUGAGACCUCAGCAGGGAUGGGGGUUGGCAUGCAGGGCCCCAGAUUUCUGGCCUCGACAGAUUCUUUCACCGCACACGUGCAGGGGGCAGAGCCCUGGCUACAAGAGACCCCCCGGGGGCCAGAGCAACUAGAUGGCAGUCCUCCCUCUACUUCCGAGCUCCGUUACGCCUUCAAGGACACUGCAUGAGAAAAUGGAAUUUUUUUGCCAUCCCAGCAGGCCCAGGACAGAAUCAAACUGAUUUAAAAGAAAUUAAGUCAUAUGUGUGUCUUGCAAACCUGAGUUUGCAGGUUGAGAUUUGUAGCAAUAGGGUUAUCUUCAUUUACAGAUAAGGAAACUGAGGCCCAGAGAAGCUCGAGCUGGGUUAAAGGCAUACAACCAGUAAGGGACUGAUGUGGUUCGGGGAGGCAGACCUUUCUGAUUCCAUAGUCCUAACCUGUGGCUGAAAAACUCCAGACAUGUGAAGGGACCAGACAGGCAGGAAGCAUAUCAGGGACAAGAGUUCCGGUCACUGCAACUCUCACCUGGCCUUGGUGUGUGUGGCGGGGGUGGGGGCAGGGGGGCGUAGGGAGGAUGGCGGCAGGGCUUGAUGGAGACCGUGGCACAUUCAAAACCUCAGGCUCUGUCUCGAGGGGGCCGUCACUGCCCAUGCGGUCACAAGAGAAAGGCAUCUAUUUUAAAGACAAAGCUGGAAAUCCACAUUUUCCAUGUGAAAUCAGAUUGGUACCCUUCGAUUAUCUUAUUAAAAAUUCAGAGGAGUCAAGCAAACCAUGUCUAUGUGCCUCGGGCUGAGGUGCUGCUGGGAACUGGUUUGGACAGGACGCCUGGAGCACCUGAGGAUGCUGGGCUUGGAAGUGGAAGCCAGGCCCUCAUUAGGGACCGAUGGGCUCAGACUGGGGGCGGGGGUGGGGUGGGGGGUGGGGUGCAGUUUGGGAGAGACCACCAAGCCCUGAUCAGCCUUCUCUGCUGCCCACUUUGGCUGAAAGGGCUGGGGCUCGCCUCCAUCAGCCAUCAGAGGGACUCUGGUGGCUGGACAGCAGCCUGUCUGCAUCCCAGUGGGGCGCCCCGUCCUCUCCCUGCUCUGGUCCCGCUGACUUGCCGCCAUUUGGCCUCAGGUCCAGCAGAGGAUGAGGCUCACCCUGCCUCCACCCCACCCCACCCCUGUGGCCCAGAGGGUGCCCUGUCGGUGCCCUGGGCCAGAAGCUCUUUGGAAACUCCAGGAUGACUCGGAGCCGAGGCCCUGCUUCCUCUCCUGACCGCAUCCUGCAGCUCACAGCGGGGGCAGGUGCAGGCACUGCCCGGCCCCUGUCUUUGUCGCCCGGAGCCAGAACCAUCCGGACGGCCGCAGGCUGAGUGCAUCUCGGAGAAGAAAAAGUUGGACUGUUUUCUUGUACAACCAGUGACCAUUAUCACCAUAAGUCCUUAACAUUUUGUCCAAACAUGGUCUUUUAAAAUCCGUCUGUCUGUAUCUGGAUCCGGUAAGGCCUGCAGGUUGCAUUCUGCUCUUUCAAUCUUGUGUGGGUGCCCUCCCCACCCUGAUUUUUUUUUAAUCAUGUCAGAGACUUUUUGAAAUCAGGCUGGUUGCCUCCAUGACGCGUUUUAUCUGCUGCCUCCUCACGUCUCACUGAACGUGCUCUGGACCCCACAUUUCCUGUAGCCUGGACGUUGGCAGCGAAGCCUUGACUGGGAUUCUGGCUUCUGUUUUGGGUGAGAAUCCCUUCCAGGUGGUGCCGGUGCUCUACCCCCUCCUCCCGCAGAGGCAGGUAAGCUCUGGUCGCUCCUCUUACAGCAACGAUGUGCAGCUGACCCGGGGUUCUGGGUUACGGCCACCCUCCACCGUCAGACUGUGUUUCUCCCUUGUCACCGCGAGAUAAUCUGUGAGGUGACAUGUCCAGCCCCCACCAGCUCCCAGCACGCGGUUUUAGUAUCUUUUUAUCUAACAAACACUCAUGAUUGUGGCCUGAGUCAGUUGUUUUAUUAGAGGUUGCAAAGCAAAUUUUCUGUGUCUAUUUAAAAUAGUUUUUUCUCUAAAAAAGCAAUAAACUUCACAUGAUGUGAGCAAUGGCUUUCUUAUUGAUCUGUCUUCCCAGUUUAGAUUGUGAUAUGUGAAACCCCCCAGAAGAUGUCCACACUGGUUUAUUAGAUUUUGCAAUAACCUCCCUGUUUAUACCACGUGCUGGGGAGCCCUCGGCAGGCUCUGCUUACGUGUCUUUCCUGGUAUAACGUCUGAGAGCACGGGGUAUGUGUGGAUCUCUCGAGCAGGACCCAGAGAGACAGUCUCCUACACGUCAAAAAAGCAUUUCUGAAGUGGGUGAUACAUGAAUUUUACUUGCACAACUGAUGUAAGUUUUCUGUCUUUCUUUGUUGCGGGCCUUCUUCGUAGCACUGGAUGGCAUGGUUGAGCUUGUGUGUAUGUGGAUGGUUUUGCCUUGACUUUAAUUUUUAAUGGAUGGAUAUAUGCUUCUAAUCUUUGAUGGGUGCAUUUUAUAAACUAUUUAAAAUAUAUUUAAAAAGCAAUAAACUAGACAAGUCUCUGGAGAACAGGCUGGGCCCCCAAUCAUGGGACUGUGGACUGUUUGGACUGACAGGGACCAGAGAGGUCCCCUCACCCAAGCCCACCCAGUGCUGGAGUCUUGCCUGCAGCUGCCAGACUGUCUGGCGCUGGCCACAGCGCCUCGGCAGAGCGCGGGCCGCGGGUGAGGCUCACAGGCCCUCUCACUGCAGGGAGCGCUCUGGCCUCUGCCGGACAGUCCCAGGCUGGAGGGACCCAACGUCGUGAGUCUACUCACAGGCUUUCACUGAACGGUCCCUGUGUUAACUGACACCCUGGAAAUCAGUGAUGUACAAAAGCGACUGAGUCACAGGACAGAAUGCUUUGUGUGAUUUUUAGUUUCAAGAGAAAAGGAAUAGGAAAUGAAAAA